UCCGAGUUGUCCCCGGCAGUCCCAUUAGAGUCCCCGACUUUACUCGCUGGCAACUAAUGGCAGGGGUUGCGCUCGUUGCGGCACUUAACCCAACAUCUCACGACACGAGCUGACGACAGCCAUGCAGCACCUGUGCAAGCUCCCCUUGCGGGGUCGUCCCUCUUUCAAGGUUCUACCACUUGCAUGUCAAGGCCAGGUAAGGUUCUUCGCGUUGCAUCGAAUUAAGCCACAUACUCCACCGCUUGUGCAGGCCCCCGUCAAUUUCUUUGAGUUUUAAUCUUGCGACCGUACUUCCCAGGCGGCACGUUUAACGCAGAGGAAGGUGGGGUGACGUUCGUCUG
rnacentral:misc_RNA from 1 species